GAAUGCUGACAUAAGUAACGAUAAAGCGGGUGAAAAGCCCGCUCGCCGGAAGACCAAGGGUUCCUGUCCAACGUUAAUCGGGGCAGGGUGAGUCGACCCCUAAGGCGAGGCCGAAAGGCGUAGUCGAUGGGAAACGGGUUAAUAUUCCCGUACUUGGUGUUACUGCGAAGGGGGGACGGAGAAGGCUAUGUUGGCCGGGCGACGGUUGUCCCGGUUUAAGCGUGUAGGUGUGUGUUCCAGGUAAAUCCGGUUCACUUUAACACUGAGGCGUGACGACGAGGCACUACGGUGCUGAAGCAACAAAUGCCCUGCUUCCAGGAAAAGCCUCUAAGCAUCAGGUAACAUCAAAUCGUACCCCAAACCGACACAGGUGGUCAGGUAGAGAAUACCAAGGCGCUUGAGAGAACUCGGGUGAAGGAACUAGGCAAAAUGGUGCCGUAACUUCGGGAGAAGGCACGCUGACA
rnacentral:rRNA from 9 species